GUGUCAGCCGCCGCGGUAAUACGUAGGGUCCAAGCGUUAAUCGGAAUUACUGGGCGUAAAGCGUGUGCAGGCGGUUUCGAAAGUCCGAUGUGAAAUCCCCGGGCUUAACCUGGGAACUGCGUUGGAAACUACGAGGCUAGAGUGCGGCAGAGGGGGGUGGAAUUCCAGGUGUAGCAGUGAAAUGCGUAGAGAUCUGGAGGAACACCGAUGGCGAAGGCAGCCCCCUGGGUUAGCACUGACGCUCAUACACGAAAGCGUGGGGAGCAAACAGGAUUAGAAACCCCCGUAGUCC
rnacentral:rRNA from 1 species